AAAGGCAAAACAAUACCACUUGAAAUAGUUUUCUCUGUUAAUGGUGGAAGCCAAAAUUUCUCCCUUUGUUCAUAGCACUGUUCAACCCCACUUGUCUCUGCUCUCAUUAUUUUUCUCUUUAUUCGCCUUGACGUUUUCUCCUCUUCCGUAUUCUCCUCCCUCGAACAAAACCUUCCUUCUUAUCGCAUUUCUUCGACCCAUUUCCCCAUUUCCCCAUUUUCUCGUUCUCCCUCGUCACUUUCCUCACUUUCUAUCAAUUUCAGCUUCACCCAUCACUCUUAACCCUAAAUCCUGCUUACCCAUCUCCCUCCAAUGGCUUCUCACUGUGAAAAAAACCACCUUCCCCCUGAUUCUACCCCUCAUCUUAACGGUGACGCCAAUACCCACUUGCCCAAAAGGCCUAAAAUUGCCCCCACUUUCAUUUCUGACUCAGAAAUUCAAUCCGAGUUUGCCCAUCAUGACCCUUCUGUUGCUCGGAUCAACAACGGGAGCUUUGGCUGUUGCCCUUCUUCUGUCAUCUCUGCUCAACAACAAUGGCAGCUUAAGUUCCUUCGCCAGCCUGAUUGGUUCUACUUCAACGAGCUCAAAAAGGGGAUUCUUGAAUCGAGAACCAUCAUUAAGGAUCUCAUCAAUGCCGAGCAUAUUGAUGAAGUUUCUAUUGUUGAUAACGCUACCACCGCAGCUGCUAUAGUUUUGCAGAAAAUCGCUAGGGAUUUUUCUGAGGGGAGAUUUGAGAAGGGUGAUGCGGCGGUUAUGCUUCACUAUGCGUAUGGUGCUGUGAAGAAGUCAAUAGAGGCAUAUGUUUCUCGAGCUGGUGGGUAUGUAAUUGAGGUUCAAUUGCCUUUUCCUGUUAAGUCUAAUGAUGAAAUUAUAUUUGAAUUUCGUAAGGCUUUGGAGAGAGGAAAGGCUAAUGGUAGGAAGGUUCGUUUGGCUGUGAUUGAUCAUAUUACAUCCAUGCCUUGUGUGGUUAUACCGGUUAAGGAGUUAGUUAAGAUUUGUAGGGAAGAGGGUGUUGACCAAGUUUUUGUUGAUGCUGCUCACGCUAUUGGGUGUACUGAUAUUGAUAUGCAAGAGAUUGGUGCUGAUUAUUACACAAGUAAUUUGCAUAAGUGGUUCUUUUGUCCACCUUCAAUUGCUUUCUUGUAUUCCAGGAGGUCCCCAAAUCAUUCUGAUUUGCAUCAUCCCGUUGUUUCUCACGAGUAUGGUAAUGGGUUGGCCAUAGAAAGUGCUUGGAUUGGAACCAGGGAUUAUAGUUCUCAGUUGGUGGUUCCUUCGGUUUUGAAGUUUGUUAAUAGGUUUGAAGAUGGGAUUAAGGGAAUCAAAAAAAGGAAUCAUGAGGCUGUUAUUAAGAUGGGAGAGAUGUUGGCAGAAUCAUGGAAGACUCAUCUUGGCUGCCCACCAAAUAUGUGUGCGAGCAUGGUCAUGGUGGGGUUGCCUUCAUGCUUGGGCAUCUCAAGUGAAUCUGAUACUCUGAGGUUGAGAACACACUUACGGGAAGAGUUUAGAGUUGAAGUCCCGAUAUAUUACCGUGCUCCGAAAAAAGGGGAAACUGCCCCUAUUACAGGGUAUGCACGAAUUUCUCAUCAAGUGUACAACAAAUUUGAAGAUUAUGUUAAGUUUCAAGACGCAAUCAACGAACUUGUGCAAACUGGCUUCACCUGCACUCAACUCUCCAAAUGACGACAGAGGAGGUAGAUGUCCUUUGCUUUCAUGAAUAUAGUUUAUGCAAUUUAGGCAGUUGUUAUUACUCGGGAUCUUAUAAGGUAAAAAGGGGAAUUGAAGUUGUUUAACUCUUCCCAUGUUUGCCUAAUAUAAUCCCAUGAUUGCAAUUAAAGUCAUGCUAAAUCCAACAAAUACGUAGUUAGAAAAUUCUUUGUACGACUAUUUUUAGUUAUAUGUAGUCAAUCUUAAAGUGAUACUCAUCCAUGAUGUUUAUUAUAUUUUUUUUAUUUGAUUGGGUACUCAAAUAGGUCAUUUCCAUUCUAUCUAAUUGAUUUUCUGACCCUUCCUAAAUCCUUCACUUAUAAGAAGGUCUAUGGUUUCGUCUUUUCUUAAUUAUGCAAUAAUGAAUCUGGCUGAGAAGGACAAGUGCUAGUGUGCUACUACAUUCCAAUUAUGAAUAUUGGCUGAGAAGGACGUAGACUAGAGAUCGAUGAGGAACUUUUCCUUAUUUAUGACUUGAUUUUAAGUAUACCCCAAAAUUUGUGCCUAAUGAGAACUAACUUUGAAUUGGAUCCUUCGUUAUUCGUUAAGAGUUCAUUUUUUUUUAUAGCCCGAUCACUUUUUUUUUUUUUUUUUUUUAUCAUAACUACUUUCGUUGAGAAAAAUGAAAUUUCAAGAAUUAAUAAAUGCAUUUCUUUUUCAAGAAUCAUACUUUUAAAUAAUAGUUUAGUCAUGCAUAGAUAGAGCCAAGCUUGGGGGCCUACAUAAGCCGGGUGGAAGCCUGUAGGUCUGUAGAUGCAUCCUUUAUUGAUGUACAAGUUUUUAGUUUCUUCUUGACAUUUUGAGAUCUUUUAUGUCCCACCUGUGGUUAGAAUGAGAACCCAACAGGUUGGUAUGCAAUAAUUGGGGGAGCAAGUUCUCAUAGUCCCAAUAUUUAAUUAAAUUACAUGUGAAAUCUAGAAAAAAAUUAUUUCACGUGGGUAAAUAUCUAUUUUGCUCCCUCUCGUGUAGUCGUGUUGACUGUUAUUUGAAAUAAGGAAGUCCUUUUCUUGACUUGGUCUACAUGCUUUAUACCUACCUUUUUAAAGAACUCGAUUUCAAUCUUAAUGAUGAAAUGAUGGUUGCAAUUUUUGUUCAGAUGUAUUUUCUCUAAGGAAUUAGUUAGUUGUCUAGUGACAAGUAACCUAGCAGCAGCAUUUAUCCAAUUUCUUUAACACGUCUUUCAGUUUUUCACAGCCAGAAUAUUAAACUUUAGGGGAAGAAAUAAGGCCUGUGGUGGCAUCAAAAUGGAUAGACUGCUAUAUGGUAUUAAAAUAUCUAAGCAACAUAAUCCACAAUUUGUUUUGGUGUUGAGACUUGAGAGUCCAAUAAGCUCUUUUUAUUUCAUUCAUUUAUGAAAUUGUUCCUCUUCUAGAAAAAAAAAACUAGUUAUAAUUUGUCUGCUUCACAAAUUGAUAUAUGGGAGUUCCUACCUUUCCUUUCUAACCUUACUCUGUAGUCUGUAGCCCCUCUUGCUAUUUGUUUGUCCUCUUUUUCCAUGAAUGUGUGAUACCACUUGUGGCUUAGCCUUCAGGUAUUCAUAUCAGCUAGUUUGAUAGUUAAGAACUUUAGCUUAAAAACUAUUACUUUCUUUUAAUACAUAUAGUAGUUGUGAUUAAUAUUUGCAAAACAGAUUUUAGAAGAUAUUUCUAAGAAUAUUGAUUAGUUGACCUGUUAAUCUGUUAUGUUAUGUUAUAUUAAGAUUAUUGUUUACAGACCCAUGAUUUUCGGAAGGACAACUUUAGCUAUUAUAAAAACAAACUACUUAUGAGGACUUUGAGAAUAAUAAAAAGGAACAUAAUUUUUUAAAAUUAGUCAACCAACCAUGUUUUUGUUGUCUUUUUGUUCUUAAGAAAAAAAUGGUUUUAAAACACAACUUUCAGACACAACCCAUCAUUUGCUCCGUCUUCAAAAAAUAAUUUUCCAAAGGGAACAGCUGGGUGCUUCGAAUUUGCAGUUCAUAAAUGAUGAUAAAUUAGUGCCCUUUUGAAUGCAUAAUAACUUUAAUUUCUCCAUACAAAACAUAUGUCUAAGAAUUAUUUAUUAAGAUACAUGUCUUCUGUCUGAAUAGAGGGUGGAAGGUGCUGGGAAUAAUCAGUUACAUUGAACAGCGUUGCAUCUUUGCUUCAGCAUUCGGGUUGGGAGUUGAUGUUGUGAUAAAGUUUCUUGCAUUUUGUGGUUCUCCAUCUGAUAAAAACAAUCAAACAUCGAAGGCUUAUGAAAGCGGCACACGGUGGUUCUCUUCUGCUGUAUAGCCAUGGUUUUGGUACCAUAGGCACACCCCGAAACACUUCAAAGGUGAAUGCACCAAGCAGAAAUAAUGUCAUUAUCUUUUUAAUGACUUGAAAUGAAAGUCCUUGAGGACAGCUUAACUUGUGUAUCAGGCUUCUUGAUCAGAAUAGUACAUGUACAUAUUCGAAUCUCAUGUUUUCGACUCUUAUUUAACUAUUGAAUGAAGUACUGUUUUCGUCAUCCGAGCAAGGGUCAUGUAGUGAAGACCAGACUGGACUGUAACUUUAGUAGUUGUUGAGCUGUGGAGUUUUUCGUGCAGCAAGUGCUUUUGUAUUCUCCAUUACUACAAAUGACUGCUGAUUUUGAUGAGUUGCAGUUUCAUACGAUCUAA